rnacentral:rRNA from 1 species
CUACGGGCGGCUGCAGUGGGGAAUAUUGCACAAUGGAGGAAACUCUGACGCAGCAACGCCGCGUGGAGGAUGACACUUUUCGGAGCGUAAACUCCUUUUAUAUAGGAAGAAGAUGACGGUACUAUAUGAAUAAGCGCCGGCUAACUCCGUGCCAGCAGCCGCGGUAAUACGGAGGGCGCAAGCGUUACUCGGAAUCACUGGGCGUAAAGAGCGUGUAGGCGGAUUAAAAAGUCAGAAGUGAAAUCCUAUAGCUUAACUAUAGAACUGCUUCUGAAACUCUUAAUCUAGAAUAUGGGAGAGGUAGAUGGAAUUUCUGGUAUAGGGGUAACAUCCGUAGAGAUCAGAAGGAAUACCGAUUGCGAAGGCGAUCUACUAGAACAUUAUUGACGCUGAGACGCGAAAGCGUGGGGAGCAAACAGGAUUAGAUACCCCCGUAGUC